CGAUCAAGGCAAACCCAUUGAAAAGUGGGGACGCAAAGCUAAAGGGGCUAACGUGUUUGCGGAAGAAGCAAAUGCUAUUGUCAGCCAGCUGCCGA
rnacentral:ncRNA from 1 species